AUUGAACGCUGGCGGCAGGCCUAACACAUGCAAGUCGAGCGGAUGAAGGGAGCUUGCUCCUGGAUUCAGCGGCGGACGGGUGAGUAAUGCCUAGGAAUCUGCCUGGUAGUGGGGGAUAACGUCCGGAAACGGGCGCUAAUACCGCAUACGUCCUGAGGGAGAAAGUGGGGGACCUUCGGACCUCACGCUAACAGAUGAGCCUAGGUCGGAUUAGCUAGUUGGUGGGGUAAAGGCCUACCAAGGCGACGAUCCGUAACUGGUCUGAGAGGAUGAUCAGUCACACUGGAACUGAGACACGGUCCAGACUCCUACGGGAGGCAGCAGUGGGGAAUAUUGGACAAUGGGGGAAAGCCUGAUCCAGCCAUGCCGCGUGUGUGAAGAAGGUCUUCGGAUUGUAAAGCACUUUAAGUUGGGAGGAAGGGCAGUAAGUUAAUACCUUGCUGUUUUGACGUUACCAACAGAAUAAGCACCGGCUAACUUCGUG
rnacentral:rRNA from 1 species